AAGACUUUGAGAAAUACAAAGGUCUGGAAGAUUUGGAAUUUAUAUAAGGGGUUCAAACCAAGUGAGUCUUCUCUGACCUGUAUCUUUGGUUUAAUUUGGUUUGUUAGAUAAGUUGCCAGAUUGAUGCAGAGACAAUGAGUUUGGGUACAAGUACAAUGGCCAGCAGUGACUAAGAGAGUUCUUAUCUUUGAUAUUUCUCUCCUUCAUGAUUGAUAUAACUUUUAGUUAUCUUUUGAACUUCUCGGAGAAGAAGAAGAAGAGAGAGAGGGAAGGAAACAAGAGGCAGAGAAGAGAGAGGUUCCGGAUGCAACUAGUGACCAUGAAAUUCGGAGGGAGUCUGUAGGAGAAGAAGGGAAUCCAGAUUCAAGCAGUGAUAGAACAAUAGACUGAGUUUCAAUAUGUUAUUGCAUAUUUUUGUUAAGUGUUACUCUUGGUUGUCUUCAUUAGGUACUUAGUUUUGGGCAUAACUUAAUUUGUACUUUUUCUA